UACGGAGGAGGCAAGCGUUAUCCGGAAUUAUUGGGCGUAAAGCGUCCGUAGAUGGUUUUGUCAGUCUGCUGUCAAAGCACAGGGCUUAACCCUGUAAAGGCAGUGGAAACUACAAGACUAGAGUGCAGUAGGGGCAGAGGGAAUUCCCAGUGUAGCGGUGAAAUGCGUAGAGAUUGGGAAGAACACCGAUGGCGAAGGCAGCCAUCUGGACGGUUUCUGACACUAAGACUCGAAAGCGUGGGGAGCAAACAGG
rnacentral:rRNA from 1 species